CAUGCAAGUCGAACGGUAACAGAGAGAGCUUGCUCUUUGCUGACGAGUGGCGAACGGGUGAGUAACGCGUAUGCAACCUACCUUUAACUGGGAGAUAGCCCCGAGAAAUCGGGAUUAAUAUCCCAUAAUAUUACAGAUUCUCAUGUUUUUGUAAUUAAAGCUCCGGCGGUUAAAGAUGGGCAUGCGUGACAUUAGCUAGUUGGUGAGGUAACUGCUCACCAAGGCUACGAUGUCUAGGGGGCCUGAGAGGGUUGUCCCCCACACUGGUACUGAGACACGGACCAGACUCCUACGGGAGGCAGCAGUGAGGAAUAUUGCGCAAUGGACGAAAGUCUGACGCAGCCAUGCCGCGUGCAGGAUGAAUGCCCUACGGGUUGUAAACUGCUUUUAUAUAGGAAGAAACCCCUCUACGUGUAGAGGGCUGACGGUACUAUACGAAUAAGCACCGGCUAACUCCGUGCCAGCAGCCGCGGUAAUACGGAGGGUGCAAGCGUUAUCCGGAUUCAUUGGGUUUAAAGGGUGCGCAGGCGGGUUUAUUAGUCAGUGGUGAAAUCCUACAGCUCAACUGUAGAACUGCCAUUGAUACUGAUAAAACUUGAA
rnacentral:rRNA from 1 species